AGUCUUCCAACCGUCCUUCUCGCGAAGCGCUAACGGUUAGCCGGGAACCAGUGAAGAGUCUGGAGUCGUGGCUUCAAAAGAAGAAAGACUGAAGCCAGACAAGCAGAGGUCACAGAAUACAAUGGCUCACAUGCGACCAGGUUUAUCAAAUCAAUCUAAACACCCACGGAGAAGCAAGGUGAAAGAAAUGGGGUAGCUCUAUAACAUCUUGGACCCACAGAGUCUCACUGCUGUGUUAGCUCUUCAGUGACUUAAUGUUUUCUAUAUUUUG